rnacentral:rRNA from 1 species
CACGUAGGGUGCGAGCGUUGUCCGGAAUUAUUGGGCGUAAAGAGCUCGUAGGCGGUUUGUCGCGUCUGCUGUGAAAACUCAGGGCUUAACCCUGAGCCUGCAGUGGGUACGGGCAGACUAGAGUGUGGUAGGGGAGAUCGGAAUUCCUGGUGUAGCGGUGGAAUGCGCAGGAUAUCAGGAGGAACACCGGUGGCGAAGGCGGUUCUCUGGGCAUUACCUGACGCUGAGGAGCGAAAGUGUGGGAGCGAACAGG